GGGAGGCCAGGAGAUGGUGUCAGAACCCAGGAUAUAUGAGUUACAGAUAGCAGUGAGCUUCUAUAUACUAGGAAUGGAAGCUGUAUGCUCUGAAAGAAUCUUCAGUGCUUUUCGCUGCUAAGGUAAUAUAUUGUGGUUCAAGAUGAACAUGCCAGAUGCAUUUCUUUCCAUCAUUUUUAUAAUCUACAUAUGUUCCAACAUGACUGUGAGGGAAAACAUUGUUUUGGAAAUAACUCUCAUGCUCUACUUGCCUCCUGCAGGU